GAUGAACGCUGGCGGCGUGCCUAAUACAUGCAAGUCGAGCGAACGGACGAGAAGCUUGCUUCUCUGAUGUUAGCGGCGGACGGGUGGGUAACACGUGGAUAACCUACCUAUAAGACUGGGAUAACUUCGGGAAACCGGAGCUAAUACCGGAUGAUAUUUUGAACCGCAUGGUUCAAAAGUGAAAGACGGUCUUGCUGUCACUUAUAGAUGGAUCCGCGCUGCAUUAGCUAGUUGGUAAGGUAACGGCUUACCAAGGCAACGAUGCAUAGCCGACCUGAGAGGGUGAUCGGCCACACUGGAACUGAGACACGGUCCAGACUCCUACGGGAGGCAGCAGUAGGGAAUCUUCCGCAAUGGGCGAAAGCCUGACGGAGCAAUGCCACGUGAGUGAUGAAGGUCUUCGGAUCGUAAAACUCUGUUAUUAGGGAAGAAAAGAAGUGUAAGUAACUGUGCACAUCUUGACGGUACCUAAUCAGAAAGCCACGGCUAACUACGUG
rnacentral:rRNA from 1 species